rnacentral:rRNA from 1 species
UUUUUAUGAGAGUUUGAUCCUGGCUCAGGACGAACGCUGGCGGCGUGCCUAAUACAUGCAAGUCGAACGCUUCUUUUUCCACCGGAGCUUGCUCCACCGGAAAAAGAGGAGUGGCGAACGGGUGAGUAACACGUGGGUAACCUGCCCAUCAGAAGGGGAUAACACUUGGAAACAGGUGCUAAUACCGUAUAACAAUCAAAACCGCAUGGUUUUGAUUUGAAAGGCGCUUUCGGGUGUCGCUGAUGGAUGGACCCGCGGUGCAUUAGCUAGUUGGUGAGGUAACGGCUCACCAAGGCCACGAUGCAUAGCCGACCUGAGAGGGUGAUCGGCCACAUUGGGACUGAGACACGGCCCAAACUCCUACGGGAGGCAGCAGUAGGGAAUCUUCGGCAAUGGACGAAAGUCUGACCGAGCAACGCCGCGUGAGUGAAGAAGGUUUUCGGAUCGUAAAACUCUGUUGUUAGAGAAGAACAAGGAUGAGAGUAACUGUUCAUCCCUUGACGGUAUCUAACCAGAAAGCCACGGCUAACUACGUGCCAGCAGCCGCGGUAAUACGUAGGUGGCAAGCGUUGUCCGGAUUUAUUGGGCGUAAAGCGAGCGCAAGCGGUUUCUUAAGUCUGAUGUGAAAGCCCCCGGCUCAACCGGGGAGGGUCAUUGGAAACUGGGAGACUUGAGUGCAGAAGAGGAGAGUGGAAUUCCAUGUGUAGCGGUGAAAUGCGUAGAUAUAUGGAGGAACACCAGUGGCGAAGGCGGCUCUCUGGUCUGUAACUGACGCUGAGGCUCGAAAGCGUGGGGAGCAAACAGGAUUAGAUACCCUGGUAGUCCACGCCGUAAACGAUGAGUGCUAAGUGUUGGAGGGKUUCAGCCCUUCAGUGCUGCAGCUAACGCAUUAAGCACUCCGCCUGGGGAGUACGACCGCAAGGAGGAAACUAAAAGGAAUUGACGGGGGCGAGCACAAGCGGUGGAGCAUGAGGUUUAAUUGGAAGCAACGCGAAGAACCUUAACAGGUCUUGACAUCCUUUGAACACACUAGAGAUAGAGCUUCCCAUUCGUGGGCGAAGUGACAGGUGGUGCAUGGUUGUCGUCAGCU